CUAAGAUGGCAAGCCGAACGGUGAAGGAUGCCCACAGCAUCCAUGGCACCAACCCUCAGUAUCUAGUGGAGAAGAUCAUCUGGACGGGAAUCUAUGAAUCCAAGUACUGGAAAGAAGAAUGUUUCGGACUAACAGCUGAACUUGUAGUUGAUAAAGCCAUGGAGUUAAGAUUUGUCGGCGGCGUUUAUGGUGGCAACAUAAAACCCACUCCCUUUUUAUGUUUGACCUUGAAGAUGCUGCAGAUUCAGGCUGAAAAGGAUGUCAUUGUAGAAUUUAUAAAAAAUGAAGACUUCAAGUAUGUCCGCAGGUUGGUGCACUUUACAUGAGGUUGACUGGCACUGCAAUUGACUGCUACAAGUAUUUGCAGCCUCUGUACAAUGACUAUCGGAAGAUCAAGAGUCAGAACCGAAAUGGGGAGUUUGAACUGAUGCAUAUGGAUGAGUUUAUUGAUGAGCUGCUGCCUAGUGAGAGAGUCUGUGACAUCAUUCUGCCCAGACUACAGAAACGGUAUGUGCUGGAGGAAGCUGAGCAGCUGGAGCCUCGGGUUAGUGCCCUUGAAGAGGACAUGGAUGACAUGGAAUCCAGUGAAGAGGAAGAAGAGGAAGAUGAGAAGUUGGAGAGAAUUCCAUCACCGGAUCAACAUCGGAGAAGCUACAGAGACUUAGACAAACCCCGUCGUUCCGCCACACUGUACUACAGGAGGAGCAGGAGCCGGUCUCCCAGAAGGCGGAGUGGGUCUCCCAAGAGGAGAAGCCCCUCUCCUCGCCGAGAAAGACAUAGGAGCAAGAGUCCAAGACAUCGUCGCAGUAGGUCCCGAGAUCGCAGACCCAGAUCUCGCUCCAAGUCCCCAGGUCAUUACCACAGUCACAGGCACAGGAGCCACUCAAAGUCCCCUGAAAGGUCUAAGAAAAGCCAGAGCCGGAGAGGGAAUGAGUAAUGGACACCUGUUUGAUUUUACUCCACAUGGCCUCUUUUGUAUAUGGCAGGAUCAGUCCAUGUAGGAUUAAGAUUUGUUUCCCAGGCACCUAUAAGAAUAUUUUAACAUUUUCUUACCAUGCUUU